rnacentral:lncRNA from 10 species
GACAUGGUUGUGGGCCCUAUCUCUCCGGCAAUAUAUUUAAUAAAGGACCGACAGUCUGUGUAUGUUUAUAAACAUAAAAGUCCCAGAAGAAAAACAAACAUGGAUCUCAUAAUUGAAAAUGAAGUCAAUUAAGACAGCUCAAGCAGGUACUCAUCCAGAGUUCCAUCUUAGACAAAUAGGUACCUUAGGUACUUGGCAUAUUGACACGAACUUUUUUUAUCUUCUAACCUUUUAAAAUGUAUCAGAUCACUGUUUUAAGGGUGGGGCUCUUUGGAAGAAGCCAGUAAAGGUGAGAUCGUUGUAAGCCCGCACCAAAAAGACAUCUUGAUUAGAGAUGUUAGCGUUGGUCUAAAACAUGAAAAUAUUAGUUGAUGGUGAAAUAAAAUGCAUAGGAUAUUAUUUGGAGUUUGGUGUAAUAACAGAAUGUAAGGAUGAAUAGAAACCAAGAAGCAAAUCUCGCCCUUUCUGAGGCUGAGCAAAUUCCACUCAGUCUCCCUCUGCCCUCCCCAAGCACUCUCUUCUCCUUCUCUUUUCUUUUCUUUCUUUCUUUCUGACUCCUCUCUUACCUGCCACAUCUGUGCUUGCUGUAGACUGUGGAUCCCCCUCAUCUUGGCAGAGCAGGAGCUCAAUAGGGCAUCGUGGAGGUGUGAGUAGGAUGGGGGAGGAUCUCUCCUCUGCCUCCGUGGAGAACACAGUGUGUGACAUCACCGCAGCUAUCCAGCUUCCUCAGGGAACACGUGCUCUAAGGUACCUAAAACGUUCUAUUUUUAACAUGUCCUGCUGUUUCAUCUUAAUGUGCUCUGACUGAUGAAUGUUCAGCUAUAUUGACUGUAUCCUGUUUAAUCAAAGGGAUUUGUAUUAUCAUCUAAGGUCAUUUGUCUCUUCCUUUAAGGAACUUAAAAUCUAAUUGAAGAGGCAAAACUAAGGUAAAACAUUUGAGAAAGCAGGGAGUACUUGGAAAGCACCAGGGGAUAGGGUAAAAUGAAAGACAUGUGUAGCAGUCUACCUCCCUCCGGGAUAGGGUAAAAUGACAAUAAUCCACAGUUCACAGACACUCAGCAUGUCUACAAGCCCUCUGAAUGUGCAUGCAUUUGUGUUUCUGUGAGCAGUGCUCAGAGAGGAGGGUUGACAGCUUCCAUCACAUUCCCUAACUUUACAGUGUGUCAGAAAACACAUAAAAAUUAAGCAAAAUUGACAAAAAUAUAGGCCUGUGUGUCUUGUUUCCAGAGCGUCUCUUGAACAUCUUCCAAAUACUUAAUUCUAGUGUCAGUGUCGUUAACUGUGAUGAAGAAAAAACAAUUAUCCUGGACAAUGUCAAUGGCUCACGUGGUGUCCAAGUUUAAGAACGUUUAGCACCAAAGGAAAAUUAUUUCAAACAGAGUUGGGUGUUUGAGUUAAAAAAAAAAAAAAGUCCCAAGUAACCCACUGAAAGAUGUUUAAGCACCUGUAACCAUCAACACUUAUUGAAGUGAUGAUAAUUUUAACCUCAGAAACUUCUUCUACAGCUGUAGAAACAUAUUCUUCUUUUGAAUUAAUUUAGGUAAAAUUGCAAAAAAUAUUUAGUGAUUUGAAAGAUAAGCAAAUUUGUCUUUGCUUUCCUUUUGUCUUUGUCCAAAGACAGGAGAGGAAGAGAAGGGAAAAGGCGGAAUUAACUACAUAAUUCAUCAUCAUAUAUUUAUUUGUUGACCUGGAAGAAAGCCCAUUUGAAUUUCAUUUUAAAGGAUUAUAUUUAACGUUUAGAAAUGUGAAACAGAUUAAAAGUCCAUAUGCUGUUUUUAUAAAAAAUAAACAUGAGGAAACUAUACAGAAUAUACAAGCUU